UGCGGCUGCAGGAAGCAGUGCUGCUGCUAGGUGCUCGCUCAGCUUUUGGGCUGGGGUAGCAGUGUUUCAAGUCCUUCCACCCAAAACAUUUCCAAACUGCUAGGAAUCAUCUCCUGGAAAAAGUAUGCUUGAGCCCAGCACCUCAAAAGUCUUGGACCUCGGCUAAAUGAGCCACCUGUCCUAGGUGAAGAGUAUUGGCUGCCACUCAGUCCCCUCUGUUCUACUUUUCCUUCUCUGCAUGCAAUCUCUCUUUUUUUUCUUUUUUACCUCUAUGUUGUGAAUUACAUAAUAUUGUCCAAAUUUCCUCAUAAAAUAAAGUAUAAG
rnacentral:lncRNA from 1 species